rnacentral:rRNA from 1 species
CCUACGGGAGGCAGCAGUGAGGAAUAUUGAUCAAUGGUCGGGAGACUGAACCAGCCAAGCCGCGUGAGGGAUGAAGGUACAGAGUAUCGUAAACCUCUUUUGUCAGGGAACAAAGGCGGGGACGUGUCCCCGGAUGAGUGUACCUGAAGAAAAAGCAUCGGCUAACUCCGUGCCAGCAGCCGCGGUAAUACGGAGGAUGCGAGCGUUAUCCGGAUUUAGUGGGUUUAAAGGGUGCGCAGGCGGUCUGUUAAGUCAGCGGUCAAAGCCCGGGGCACAACCCCGGCCCGCCGUUGAAACUGGCAGUCUCGAGUUGGAGAGAAGUAUGCGGAAUGCGCGGUGUAGCGGUGAAAUGCAUAGAUAUCGCGCAGAACUCCGAUUGCGAAGGCAGCAUGCCGGCUCCACACUGACGCUGAGGCACGAAAGCGUGGGUAUCGAACAGGAUUAGAUACCCCGGUAGUC